rnacentral:rRNA from 1 species
GAUCCUGGCUCAGGAUGAACGCUAGCUACAGGCUUAACACAUGCAAGUCGAGGGGCAGCAUUCCAGUUUGCUUGCAAACUGGAGAUGGCGACCGGCGCACGGGUGAGUAACACGUAUCCAACCUGCCGAUAACUCGGGGAUAGCCUUUCGAAAGAAAGAUUAAUACCCGAUGGCAUAAUAGAACCGCAUGGUUUGAUUAUUAAAGAAUUUCGGUUAUCGAUGGGGAUGCGUUCCAUUAGGCAGG